AGAGAGAGAGAGCGUCCCGAAAGCCAGAAGUGUCAGCAGUCCACAAGCUGUGACUCAGGAGUCAAGCCUGUUGGUCAGACGCGCUCGCCGCUCGCUGGUUCCAGCUCCCCUCCUUUCAGGCUUUCUGCUGCAUUUGGAUUUUCUGUCCAGGCUUCACACCGUCCCUGUAUUUGUUUUUAGAAAUGUGACCCUCAGCAUGCUGAUUGUUCUGCCAAGCUGAACUGAAGAUAACGGUGCAGAGGACCCAGACACAAACUUAGAAAAGAAUGAGAAGGGGAAAAGAGUUGGAUUCCUGACCCUCACCUAGAGCCUGCUGCUUGGACCCCUCUCUUUUCAGAAAACUCUGCACCAGAGAUAAUCCGCCACGCUGCUGGGCAGAACAGCGUGAUGUAGUAACACUGUCAGUGUUUCGGACUAAUGGCCUGACGUCAGCAGCAGCAGAUAUGAAAAAGACACUGCUGCACACACGCUUGGACUGCAAGCAACACUUCCCAUCGCUUUCACAACUAGCCGCGACCCCCACCCUCACAUUUAUCACUGAAUAAAUAUGUAGGACAUCAACUGUAGCUGACACUUAUCCAGAUAAACUUCCAGUAAAUGCUCAACUCAACCAGCAUGAGCGAAGAGUGUGACGUGUCCAGACUGUGCAUGUAACAACUCAGGGCAUGUUCCUGGAAAGUGAAGAGGGCAACAGUUCAGGCAGUAAUAAAAAUAAUUUGCUUACUCCGACACAGAGCUGAUUACAGCCCACACCAACGAGCAGCUGCACGGUGAGUGAGGGCAGCAUGAGAACAAAGCGCCUUAACUUGAAUACAAAAUGUCAUUAAAGACAUGAAGGAAAGUCUACAGGUAGAAGAAAUAACCAAUUUUUUUCUUAGAUAUUUGUGUUGUGCACAUGGAAACGGGAGGAAAGUGGGUCAGCAGUAAAAAGGGAACAGCACUUUCUGAUUCAGAUGAUAUAAGCUUCAUGUCUUUGUAAUUUACUACUGCACCUCGAACAACCCAUGAGGAGCAUUUCAGUUCAUAUUUAGUUUGGAUCCAUUUCAGUCAGGCUCAGGUGGAAAUAAAUUCAUAUCUGCAGCAUGAUGUCUGCACGCUGCUGCAGCGUACUGCCAAGUCAGUAAUGAAAAGGUGUUUUUGUCUAAUCAACUUUU